AUUGAACGCUGGCGGAAUGCUUUACACAUGCAAGUCGAACGGCAGCACGGACUUCGGUCUGGUGGCGGGUGGCGAACGGGUGAGUAAUGUAUCGGAACGUGCCCAGUCGUGGGGGAUAACGUAGUGAAAAUUACGCUAAUACCGCACACGAUCUAUGGAUGAAAGCGGGGGAUCGCAAGACCUCGCGCGAUUGGAGCGGCCGAGAUCAGAUUAGGUAGUUGGUGGGGUAAAGGCCCACCAAGCCAACGAUCUGUAGCUGGUCUGAGAGGACGACCAGCCACACUGGAACUGAGGCACGGUCCAGACUCCUACGGGAGGCAGCAGUGGGGAAUUUUGGACAAUGGGCGAAAGCCUGAUCCAGCCAUUCCGCGUGCAGGAUGAAGGCCCUCGGGUUGUAAACUGCUUUUGUACAGAACGAAAAGGUUUCUACUAAUACUAGGAGCUCAUGACGGUACUGUAAGAAUAAGCACCGGCUAACUACGUGCCAGCCGCCGCCGUAA
rnacentral:rRNA from 1 species